AAAAGGUUGGCAGAUGAGAAAUGCAGUUAGCUUGAAACUAAACUUAUAAAGGUUUAAUUCCUUUACUUUUUU
rnacentral:tRNA from 1 species